UAUAAAAAAGCCAACAAUUUAAACGGGGUGUAUUAUUUUUUUACAUGACUGUUUAAUAAUUUAUUGUUUUUAUUGAUUAAAAUAAGAAAUUAUUAAACAUUGCAUAAUUUUCCUGGUUAUAGUUUGAUUUUGCUUAAAAUGUCCUCAGGACAGGUUUCCCAUGUGAGGCUGGAUGUAAAAUCAGAAUUCAGUAGCAACUCAACAAUCUGACAGCAACACUGGUGACACUGUAAUGUGAUGCUGUGGGGUGGAGCUUCAUGAAGCUUUAUUAUUUGAACAUAUCAUAGUACAGAAAGACCUCAGACUAUUUUCAGUUAGACCCUUCAUCAUGUUCACUAUUAUAUUCAUGUGUCUGUGGCUUUCACUAGGUGACUCCGUGGCAGAUUCAAUAAAGCCACUUUCAACUCAUAAAGUUGUAGAUGAAGAUGAUAAUGUUACUCUGUCCUGCAGAUACGAAACAACCAUUGUUACAAACUACCUGCACUGGUACAGGCAAUAUCCAAAAUCUAAACCUGAGUUCCUUCUUUAUAUUGCUGAUCAAAGUGGAGAUCUAAGUCUCAACAUCCCUCCAAGAAUGUCUGCUAAAGUUAACAAAAAUAAAGAAGUGCAUCUGCUCAUCUCCUCUUCUGCUGUAUCAGACUCUGCACUAUAUUACUGUGCUCUGGCGCCCACAGUGACAGGAAAUCCAACUGCACUGUACAAAAACCCGACACACUUUUCUGGUGAUUUUGAGAAAUUUCCAGGACUUUGUUAAAGGGAUUCGCUCUUUCUCUUUCAUGAUUUAUAGAGUUUAUACAGUAUUGUUGGCACA